CUAUUAAAGCUCCUUCAAUAAAUGAGGGAGACGAUGUUAAUAGGAAAUUUAUUCAUAGUAGCAAUGUACAGGUAACAACCUAAUUUUGUGUGCUUAAUUUUUUGCCUUGUUAAAAUCAUUAAACUCAUUACUUUUUUAAUAUGUGAGGCAACUCACAUCAUUACUGAUGAUGAUGCAAAAUGGCCAGGAUCUGUGCAUGAUGCCAGAAUUCUCCACAAGUCAUCAUUAUGCCAGACAUUUCAGCAGGGACAGUACAAUGGUUACUUGCUGGGGAACAGAGGACAACCUUGUCUGCCCUAUUUAAUGACCCCCUACCCUGAACCUGAUCCUGGACCACAGACAUGCUUUAACCUGGCUCACAGCCGAACACGGGUCAAGGUGGAGAUGACCAUAGGGAUCCUCAAGUCUAGGUUUCAGUGUCUGCGUGGGCUCCGGGUCAGUCCAGAGAGGGCAUGCAACAUCAUAGUGGCUUGUGUUGUGCUUCACAACAUUGCCACUAUAAGAGGAGAGAGCCACCUUCCUUGUAUUGAAGAAGAUGGCCCAGAGGAACCACUACAGAUUUUUGCACACAACAUGAAAGUGAUAAAAGACAGGAUUUGUCAAAAUUACUUUUAUUAAAUUGUUUGCACUGGU